AGGGGGUUAGUGUAGCGGUAACACAACGGUCUUCGGAACCGUCUUCGUCAGUUCGAACCUGGCACUCCCUG
rnacentral:tRNA from 1 species